AUUGCCAUUAAAACUCACCUGGGGUAGUUGGGUAGAUACAGGGUACUGGAGCAGGUGGAGGACUGUGGCAACGCAUCUGUAGUCUCAGAGCUAGAGGUCAGGGAAACCAAAGACGUUAUAAUGCAUCUGUAGUCUCAGAGCUAGAGGUCAGGGAAACCAAAGACGUUAUAAUGCAUCUGUAGUCUCAGAGCUAGAGGUCAGGGAAACCAAAGACGUUAUAAUGCAUCUGUAGUCUCAGAGCUAGAGGUCAGGGAAACCAAAGACGUUAUAAUGCAUCUGUAGUCUCAGAGCUAGAGGUCAGGGAAACCAAAGAUGUUAUAAUGCAUCUGUAGUCUCAGAGCUAAAGGUCAGGGAAACCAAAGACGUUAUAAUGCAUCUGUAGUCUCAGAGCUAGAGGUCAGGGAAACCAAAGACGUUAUAAUGCAUCUGUAGUCUCAGAGCUAGAGGUCAGGGAAACCAAAGACGUUAUAAUGCAUCUGUAGUCUCAGAGCUAGAGGUCAGGGAAACCAAAGACGUUAUAAUGCAUCUGUAGUCUCAGAGCUAGAGGUCAGGGAAACCAAAGACGUUAUAAUGCAUCUGUAGUCUCAGAGCUAGAGGUCAGGGAAACCAAAGAUGUUAUAAUGCAUCUGUAGUCUCAGAGCUAAAGGUCAGGGAAACCAAAGACGUUAUAAUGCAUCUGUAGUCUCAGAGCUAGAGGUCAGGGAAACCAAAGACGUUAUAAUGCAUCUGUAGUCUCAGAGCUAGAGGUCAGGGAAACCAAAGACGUUAUAAUGCAUCUGUAGUCUCAGAGCUAGAGGUCAGGGAAACCAAAGACGUUAUAAUGCAUCUGUAGUCUCAGAGCUAAAGGUCAGGGAAACCAAAGACGUUAUAAUGCAUCUGUAGUCUCAGAGCUAGAGGUCAGGGAAACCAAAGACGUUAUAAUGCAUCUGUAGUCUCAGAGCUAGAGGUCAGGGAAACCAAAGACGUUAUAAUGCAUCUGUAGUCUCAGAGCUAGAGGUCAGGGAAACCAAAGACGUUAUAAUGCAUCUGUAGUCUCAGAGCUAGAGGUCAGGGAAACCAAAGAUGUUAUAAUGCAUCUGUAGUCUCAGAGCUAAAGGUCAGGGAAACCAAAGACGUUAUAAUGCAUCUGUAGUCUCAGAGCUAGAGGUCAGGGAAACCAAAGACGUUAUAAUGCAUCUGUAGUCUCAGAGCUAGAGGUCAGGGAAACCAAAGACGUUAUAAUGCAUCUGUAGUCUCAGAGCUAAAGGUCAGGGAAACCAAAGACGUUAUAAUGCAUCUGUAGUCUCAGAGCUAGAGGUCAGGGAAACCAAAGACGUUAUAAUGCAUCUGUAGUCUCAGAGCUAGAGGUCAGGGAAACCAAAGACGUUAUAAUGCAUCUGUAGUCUCAGAGCUAGAGGUCAGGGAAAGACGUUAUAAAAAGUGAAAUAACAUCAGCAUCUUAUAAGGUAUUUGCUUUGGGAUUGCAUCCCACUAACGUAGGCUAAAAAGCAUCCCACUAACGUACGCUAAAAGGCAUCCCACUAACGUAGGCCAAAAGGCAUCCCACUAACGUACGCCAAAAGGCGCCCUACCAACGUACAGUAAAAGGAGCCCUACCAACAUACGGUAAAAGGAGUCCUACCAACAUACGGUAAAAGGAGCCCUACCAACAUACGGUAAAAGGAGCCCUACCAACAUACGGUAAAAGGAGCCCUACCAACAUACGGUAAAAGGAGUCCUACCAACAUACGGUAAAAGGCUCCCUACCAACAUACGGUAAAAGGAGCCCUACCAACAUACGGUAAAAGGCUCCCUACCAACAUACGGUAAAAGGCUCCCUACCAACAUACGGUAAAAGGAGUCCUACCAACAUACGGUAAAAGGCGCCCUACCAACAUACGGUAAAAGGAGCCCUACCAACAUACGGUAAAAGGAGUCCUACCAACAUACGGUAAAAGGAGUCCUACCAACAUACGGUAAAAGGCGCCCUACCAACAUACGGUAAAAGGAGUCCUACCAACAUACGGUAAAAGGAGUCCUACCAACAUACGGUAAAAGGAGUCCUACCAACAUACGGUAAAAGGAGUCCUACCAACAUACGGUAAAAGGAGUCCUACCAACAUACGGUAAAAGGCUCCCUACCAACAUACGGUAAAAGGCUCCCUACCAACAUACGGUAAAAGGCUCCCUACCAACAUACGGUAAAAGGAGUCCUACCAACAUACGGUAAAAGGCGCCCUACCAACAUACGGUAAAAGGAGUCCUACCAACAUACGGUAAAAGGAGUCCUACCAACAUACGGUAAAAGGAGCCCUACCAACAUACGGUAAAAGGAGUCCUACCAACAUACGGUAAAAGGAGUCCUACCAACAUACGGUAAAAGGCUCCCUACCAACAUACGGUAAAAGGCUCCCUACCAACAUACGGUAAAAGGCUCCCUACCAACAUACGGUAAAAGGCUCCCUACCAACAUACGGUAAAAGGCUCCCUACCAACAUACGGUAAAAGGCGCCCU